UCCUGGUUGCUAGUCAGAAUCGUUUCUACUGAGCCAUGAUGGGAACCCCCGACCUGCCUUUUGUAGUAAGGAGGUUAUAGCCACUCUCCAUGACACGGUUUCUGCAGGGAGACGUAUCCUGUGUUGAGGUAAGAACAAAGCGAAUCUGCCUCCCCCCUCCCUCCCUCCCACGAGGACUGCCUGGGUCUGGAGGCGGGAAGGGAGCGGGGAGGAUGUGGGGAGGCCUCACCCCUUUCAACGUUCAAUCCGAGCUGCUUGCUCUUCAUCUGGACUGUUAUAUGUAUGUUGGGCUUCAGCAUAUGAUUCCCUUUGAAUGUUGAAUCGUGUUCUGAAGCAGAACUGGUGAAAACCGCUGUUUUAAGAAAGCUGGUAUUAAGAGGAAUGCUGACCUAGUGAUUUAAAAGAAGGCUGCUUGUGGACUUGCCAUCAUAACCCCAAGGGGAAAAUGCACGGUUAGUCCUGGACAUGUGCCAAGUUCAUGCUCUCGACUCUGCUCAUCACAGCCUAGAUGUCUGUUCCAGCGUGCAAUUUUCAAUCACGUCUUAACCCUGAAGAGAACGAAGCCGCAUUCAGUGUUACAGGACUAGAAAGAUACGUCCGUUUACAUUUUUGCACUGUUCAUUUAAAUUUUUGCACUGUUUGCAUUUGCAUCAAUGACGGUUUAUGGAAUGCCCUUUUCCUAAACAGGCUUUUCCCUCCCAUUUUCUAAAGAUAACACUGAAAAGUAUUUUGUGCUCAGGCUUGAAAUUACUAAAUAAUCAGAAAGUAUGGCAACUUUGAUGAUUUUCCUCAUGUCGGGUUUCUUUGGAUAAACUACAGGCUUUGUCCCGUCUGAUGUUUUGUCACGAAGCGUGGCUUCAGUGGAUACAGCGUGGCUCACAAGAAGAGGCGAUGCUGGCAAGUGGUAAGCACCGGAGCAGGAAGUCAGAAGCCAGGUAUUUCUGACUCUCUUGCUCAUCACGAUUCGAGUAAGUUCUUAACAGCUGGAUUCUUAGGAACAAAGAUACAGGCCUUGCUGACUUCACGGGCUUGUUCUGGGCUGAAAUGAAUAAUGCUCUGUGAAGGCUUUUUGCAAAUGCCAAGAGCUCUACAAAUCCGCAUGGUGGUAUCACCUGACGUGAACGAGGCUGCCUUUUCUCUUGGCAGCGAUGCUUGUCUAAAGUCACGCUGACAUCUCCUUCCAGGUAGAGUUUCUUCAAAGAGAAGAAGGAAACUAUAAAAGCUGUAGGACUUACCUGAAGUAACGACGUAGAGAUGUUUGCUCAUCAAUGUGUGUAUUUAGAAGUUUUUCAAGUUCUUUUGCUCGCUUCUCCUCCUCCAGAAGGAAAUGCUGGGCAGCCAAAGAAGCUGGAAAGGAUAUAUCUGGGGGAGUCUAAAGAAAGGAAGAAAGAAAAGUUAGAUGAGGAACACAAAGCCUUUUAAAAUCUUCGUAUUUCUGGUGUGAUGUGGUUGCUGCUCAUGAAAUCCUCAAGGAAUGAAAACAUCAAGACUCUUGUAGAGUUUGGCAAAGAAAGCUUAUAGAGGAAAAAAAAUCAGCAUUGGCUUUAAAAGGAGGCUCACUGCUGCAUGGAGUUAGCCAGAUUUGCACCAGUGGUUCCCUCCACCUGAAGCUCUCUACCACAGAUCUUUGCAAGACCCAAUCUUUUUUUGGUUAUUUUGGUUCAAGCUAAAUGUCCCCUCCUCGGCAAUCAUUCUCCUGGCCACUCAACCUAAAGUCAUCCCCCAUACUUGCAUCACUUCCAAUCACAUCAUGUGCUUUUCAUUACAGCAUUUAUCACCAUUUGACAUUUUCUUAUUUAUUCAUUUGUUUCAUUAUUAACUGUUCCCUUUUUUUU